rnacentral:rRNA from 1 species
CCUACGGGUGGCUGCAGUGGGGAAUAUUGGACAAUGGGGGCAACCCUGAUCCAGCCAUGCCGCGUGUGUGAAGAAGGCCCUCGGGUUGUAAAGCACUUUCAGUGAGGAAGAACGCCUGGUGGUUAAUACCCAUCAGGAAAGACAUCACUCACAGAAGAAGCACCGGCUAACUCCGUGCCAGCAGCCGCGGUAAUACGGAGGGUGCGAGCGUUAAUCGGAAUUACUGGGCGUAAAGCGCACGUAGGUGGCUUGAUAAGCCGGUUGUGAAAGCCCCGGGCUCAACCUGGGAACGGCAUCCGGAACUGUCAAGCUAGAGUGCAGGAGAGGAAGGUAGAAUUCCCGGUGUAGCGGUGAAAUGCGUAGAGAUCGGGAGGAAUACCAGUGGCGAAGGCGGCCUUCUGGACUGACACUGACACUGAGGUGCGAAAGCGUGGGUAGCAAACAGGAUUAGAUACCCUAGUAGUC